AGAGUUUGAUCAUGGCUCAGAUUGAACGCUGGCGGAAUGCUUUACACAUGCAAGUCGAACGGCAGCAUAGGUGCUUGCACCUGAUGGCGAGUGGCGAACGGGUGAGUAAUACAUCGGAACGUGCCCAGUCGUGGGGGAUAACGUAGCGAAAGUUACGCUAAUACCGCAUACGAUCUACGGAUGAAAGCGGGGGACCGUAAGGCCUCGCGCGAUUGGAGCGGCCGAUGUUAGAUUAGGUAGUUGGUGGGGUAAAGGCUCACCAAGCCGACGAUCUAUAGCUGGUCUGAGAGGAUGAUCAGCCACACUGGGACUGAGACACGGCCCAGACUCCUACGGGAGGCAGCAGUGGGGAAUUUUGGACAAUGGGCGCAAGCCUGAUCCAGCCAUUCCGCGUGCAGGACGAAGGCCUUCGGGUUGUAAACUGCUUUUGUACAGAACGAAAAGCCUUGGGUUAAUACCCUGGGGUCAUGACGGUACUGUAAGAAUAAGCACCGGCUAACUACGUGCCAGCAGCCGCGGUAAU
rnacentral:rRNA from 1 species